GACGAAUGUUGGCGGCGUGCUUAACACAUGCAAGUCGAACGGAAAGGCCCUGCUUUUGUGGGGUGCUCGAGUGGCGAACGGGUGAGUAACACGUGAGUAACCUGCCCUUGACUUUGGGAUAACUUCAGGAAACUGGGGCUAAUACCGGAUAGGAGCUCCUGCUGCAUGGUGGGGGUUGGAAAGUUUCGGCGGUUGGGGAUGGACUCGCGGCUUAUCAGCUUGUUGGUGGGGUAAUGGCUUACCAAGGCUUUGACGGGUAGCCGGCCUGAGAGGGUGACCGGCCACAUUGGGACUGAGAUACGGCCCAGACUCCUACGGGAGGCAGCAGUGGGGAAUAUUGCACAAUGGGCGGAAGCCUGAUGCAGCAACGCCGCGUGCGGGAUGACGGCCUUCGGGUUGUAAACCGCUUUCGCCUGUGACGAAGCGUGAGUGACGGUAAUGGGUAAAGAAGCACCGGCUAACUACGUGCCAGCAGCCGCGGUGAUACGUAGGGUGCGAGCGUUGUCCGGAUUUAUUGGGCGUAAAGGGCUCGUAGGUGGUUGAUCGCGUCGGAAGUGUAAUCUUGGGGCUUAACCCUGAGCGUGCUUUCGAUACGGGUUGACUUGAGGAAGGUAGGGGAGAAUGGAAUUCCUGGUGGAGCGGUGGAAUGCGCAGAUAUCAGGAGGAACACCAGUGGCGAAGGCGGUUCUCUGGGCCUUUCCUGACGCUGAGGAGCGAAAGCGUGGGGAGCGAACAGGCUUAGAUACCCUGGUAGUCCACGCUGUAAACGGUGGGUACUAGGUGUGGGGUCCAUUCCACGGGUUCCGUGCCGUAGCUAACGCUUUAAGUACCCCGCCUGGGGAGUACGGCCGCAAGGCUAAAACUCAAAGGAAUUGACGGGGCCCCGCACAAGCGGCGGAGCAUGCGGAUUAAUUCGAUGCAACGCGUAGAACCUUACCUGGGUUUGACAUGGAUCGGGAGUGCUCAGAGAUGGGUGUGCCUCUUUUGGGGUCGGUUCACAGGUGGUGCAUGGCUGUCGUCAGCUCGUGUCGUGAGAUGUUGGGUUAAGUCCCGCAACGAGCGCAACCCUUGUUCACUGUUGCCAGCACGUUAUGGUGGGGACUCAGUGGAGACCGCCGAGGUCAACUCGGAGGAAGGUGGGGAUGACGUCAAGUCAUCAUGCCCCUUAUGUCCAGGGCUUCACGCAUGCUACAAUGGCUGGUACAGAGAGUGGCGAGCCUGUGAGGGUGAGCGAAUCUCGGAAAGCCGGUCUCAGUUCGGAUUGGGGUCUGCAACUCGACCUCAUGAAGUCGGAGUCGCUAGUAAUCGCAGAUCAGCAACGCUGCGGUGAAUACGUUCCCGGGGCU
rnacentral:rRNA from 1 species